GGGGUUGUAGCUCAAUGGCAGAGCACUUGUCUCUCAUACACGACGCACUGGGUUCAAUCCUCAGCACCACA
rnacentral:tRNA from 1 species